rnacentral:rRNA from 1 species
CCUACGGGAGGCAGCAGUGAGGAAUAUUGGUCAAUGGGCGGAAGCCUGAACCAGCCAAGUCGCGUGAGGGAUUAAGGCCCUGCGGGUCGUAAACCUCUUUUGCCGGGGAGCAGUGGUCCGGACGCGUCCGGACCGGGAGAGUACCCGGAGAAAAAGCAUCGGCUAACUCCGUGCCAGCAGCCGCGGUAAUACGGAGGAUGCGAGCGUUAUCCGGAAUGACUGGGCGUAAAGGGUGCGUAGGUGGAGGUGCAAGUCAGCGGUCAAAUUGCGGGGCUCAACCCCGUACUGCCGUUGAAACUGCAUCCCUUGAGUGCGCGAGAAGUAUGCGGAAUGCGUGGUGUAGCGGUGAAAUGCAUAGAUAUCACGCAGAACUCCGAUUGCGAAGGCAGCAUACCGGCGCGCAACUGACGCUCAUGCACGAAAGCGUGGGUAUCGAACAGGAUUAGAUACCCCAGUAGUC